AACCUCCGCAAUGUGAGAAAUCGCGACGGGGGGAUCCCAAGUGCCAUUCUUAACGGGAUGGCUUUUCAUUAGUGUAAAAAGCUUUUGGAAUAAGAGCUGGGCAAGACCGGUGCCAGCCGCCGCGGUAACACCGGCAGCUCUAGUGGUAGCAAUUUUUAUUGGGCCUAAAGCGUCCGUAGCCGGUUUAAUAAGUCUCUGGUGAAAUCCUGUAGCUUAACUGUGGGAAUUGCUGGAGAUACUAUUAGACUUGAGACCGGGAGAGGUUAGAGGUACUCCCAGGGUAGAGGUGAAAUUCUGUAAUCCUGGGAGGACCGCCUGUUGCGAAGGCGUCCAACUGGAACGGUUCUGACGGUGAGGGACGAAAGUUAGGGGCGCGAACCGGAUUAGAUACCCGGGUAGUCCUAACUGUAAACGAUGCGGACUUGGUGUUGGGGUGGCUUUGAGCUGCUUCAGUGCCGAAGGGAAGCUGUUAAGUCCGCCGCCUGGGAAGUACGGUCGCAAGACUGAAACUUAAAAGGAAA
rnacentral:rRNA from 1 species